CCCUUAGAUGUCCGGGGCUGCACGCGCGCUACACUGAAGGAAUCAGCGUGCUAAAACCAUUGUCGAAAGGCAUUGGUAAACCCAUUAAAAUCCUACGUGAUUGGGAUCGGGAAUUGCAAUUAUUUCCCUUGAACGAGGAAUUCCCAGUAAGUGUGGGUCAUAAGCUCGCGUUGAUUACGUCCCUGCCCUUUGUACACACCGCCCGUCGCUGCCCGGGACUGAGCCGUUUCGAGAAAAGCGGGGACUGCUGCUGUCGGGGCUUUCGGGCCUUGGCUUCGGUGGAAACCGCUUUAAUCGCAGUGGCUUGAACCGGGCGAAAGUCGUAACA
rnacentral:rRNA from 1 species